rnacentral:rRNA from 1 species
UACGUAGGGUGCAAGCGUUAAUCGGAAUUACUGGGCAUAAAGCGUGCGCAGGCGGUUAUAUAAGUCAGAUGUGAAAUCCCCGGGCUUAACCUGGGAACUGCAUUUGAGACUGUAUGGCUAGAGUGUGUCAGAGGGGGGUAGAAUUCCACGUGUAGCAGUGAAAUGCGUAGAUAUGUGGAGGAAUACCGAUGGCGAAGGCAGCCCCCUGGGAUAACACUGACGCUCAUGCACGAAAGCGUGGGGAGCAAACAGG